UACGUAGGUGGCAAGCGUUGUCCGGAUUUAUUGGGUUUAAAGGGUGCGUAGGCGGUCCUAUAAGUCAGUGCUGAAAUAUCCCGGCUUAACCGGGAGGGUGGCAUUGAUACUGUGGGACUUGAGUAAAGUUGAGGUUGGCGGAAUUGACGGUGUAGCGGUGAAAUGCUUAGAUAUCGAGAGGAACACCUGCGGCGAAGGCGGGUUGCUGGGCCGACACUGACGCUGAUGCGCGAAAGCCAGGGGAGCGAACGGG
rnacentral:rRNA from 1 species